AAUACAUCGGAACGUGCCCAAUCGUGGGGGAGUAACGCAGCGAAAGCUGUGCUAAUACCGCAUACGAUCUACGGAUGAAAGCAGGGGAUCGCAAGACCUUGCGCGAAUGGAGCGGCCGAUGGCAGAUUAGGUAGUUGGUGAGGUAAAGGCUCACCAAGCCUUCGAUCUGUAGCUGGUCUGAGAGGACGACCAGCCACACUGGGACUGAGACACGGCCCAGACUCUUACGGGGGGCAGCAGCC
rnacentral:rRNA from 1 species